UCGCGAAUUAAGGGGUGCCCUAUAACAGCGGGCUGAGAUUAUACCCAUUGAACCUGAUGCAGAUAAUGCUGCCGAAGGGAGGUAUGGUAAACAUUUA
rnacentral:ncRNA from 1 species